rnacentral:rRNA from 1 species
UACAGAGGGUGCGAGCGUUAAUCGGAAUUACUGGGCGUAAAGCGUGCGCAGGCGGCUUUGCAAGACAGAGGUGAAAUCCCCGGGCUCAACCUGGGAACUGCCUUUGUGACUGCAAGGCUAGAGUACGGCAGAGGGAGAUGGAAUUCCGCGUGUAGCAGUGAAAUGCGUAGAUAUGCGGAGGAACACCGAUGGCGAAGGCAAUCUCCUGGGCCUGUACUGACGCUCAUGCACGAAAGCGUGGGGAGCAAACAGG